rnacentral:rRNA from 1 species
AUGAACGCUGGCGGCGUGCCUAAUACCUGCAAGUCGAGCGAACAGAUGAGGAGCUUGCUCCCCUGACGUUAGCGGCGGACGGGUGAGUAACACGUGGAUAACCUACCUAUAAGACUGGGAUAACUUCGGGAAACCGGAGCUAAUACCGGAUAAUAUAUUGAACCGCAUGGUUCAAUAGUGAAAGACGGUUUUGCUGUCACUUAUAGAUGGAUCCGCGCCGCAUUAGCUAGUUGGUAAGGUAACGGCUUACCAAGGCAACGAUGCGUAGCCGACCUGAGAGGGUGAGCGGCCACACUGGACCUGAGACCCGGUCGAGACCCCUCGGGGAGGCAGAGGUAGGGAAUCUUCCGAAAGGGGCGAAAGCCGGACGGAGCAACGCCGGGGGAGGAAUGAAGGUCUUCGGAUCUAAAAACUCUUUUAUAAGGGAAGAAAAAAUGUGUAAGUAACUAUGCACGUCUGGAGGGGACCUAAGAAGAAAGCCACGGCUAACGCCGGG